AGCUCACUAUGAGCUUGGAUUGUCCUAAAAAUCAACCAACAAAAAAAAGUAACUCGGACCUCGAGUUUUCAACGCGAAAACGAAGGAUUCCUUACCUGAAAAUGGUGUCUACGUGAUCGUGGAGGUUCCAGGAGUUCGAUGGUGGUCUUAACUCCGUCGUUGGUAUAGAUUUAGGGUGGUUUUGUGGUGGUCCGUGUGAGUUCGAAGGAGAGGGAGAGAGAACUGAGAGUUUCGUGAGGGAGGAGAGAGAGAGACAAUGUUACGGGUUAUGGGGAGGGUUUUGAGGUGUGGGGAUCCCACGUGUCCAAC
rnacentral:lncRNA from 1 species